rnacentral:rRNA from 1 species
GAUGAACGCUGGCGGCGUGCCUAAUACAUGCAAGUCGAGCGAACGGACGAGAAGCUUGCUUCUCUGAUGUUAGCGGCGGACGGGUGAGUAACACGUGGAUAACCUACCUAUAAGACUGGGAUAACUUCGGGAAACCGGAGCUAAUACCGGAUAAUAUUUUGAACCGCAUGGUUCAAAAGUGAAAGACGGUCUUGCUGUCACUUAUAGAUGGAUCCGCGCUGCAUUAGCUAGUUGGUAAGGUAACGGCUUACCAAGGCAACGAUGCAUAGCCGACCUGAGAGGGUGAGCGGCCACACUGGAACUGAGACACGGUCCAGACUCCUACGGGAGGCAGCAGUAGGGAAUCUUCCGCAAUGGGCGAAAGCCUGACGGAGCAACGCCGCGUGAGUGAUGAAGGUCUUCGGAUCGUAAAACUCUGUUAUUAGGGAAGAACAUAUGUGUAAGUAACUGUGCACAUCUUGACGGUACCUAAUCAGGAAGCCACGGCUAACUACGUG